AAUGAACGCUGGCGGCAUGCCUAACACAUGCAAGUCGAACGAAGGCUUCGGCCUGAGUGGCGCACGGGUGCGUAACGCGUGGGAAUCUGCCCUCAGGUUCGGAAUAACAGCGAGAAAUUGCUGCUAAUACCGGGUGAUAUCGCGAGAUCAAAGAUUUAUCGCCUGAGGAUGAGCCCGCGUAGGAUUAGCUAGUUGGUGUGGUAAAGGCGCACCAAGGCGACGAUCCUUAGCUGGUCUGAGAGGAUGAUCAGCCACACUGGGACUGAGACACGGCCCAGACUCCUACGGGAGGCAGCAGUGGGGAAUAUUGGACAAUGGGCGAAAGCCUGAUCCAGCAAUGCCGCGUGAGUGAUGAAGGCCUUAGGGUUGUAAAGCUCUUUUACCCGGGAUGAUAAUGACAGUACCGGGAGAAUAAGCUCCGGCUAACUCCGUGCCAGCCGCCGCAGUAA
rnacentral:rRNA from 1 species